rnacentral:tRNA from 2 species
AGGAGUGUGGCCCGGCUUGGCAGGGCGCCUCCCGGCUAUGGAAUGCGGGUUCAAAUCCCGCCGUCCGCUUCGGCGCGGAUGCCACCUGGUAGGGCCAGAACGGGAAGGAAGCCGCGGGUUCAAAUCCCGUCACUCCAC